GUUGGUGUGUGUGUGUGUCUGUGUCUGUGUGUGUGUGUGUGUUUGUCUGUGUCUGAACCCUGAAAGACCCAAAUAUAGAAGAAAAUGAAUUAAAAAUGCUGACAAACAUGUCGGGUGAAUUUAGGGUGAAUCUUAAAUGCAAAAAGUAUCUUGCAUCUGUAACAAGCCUCCAUAAGCGUUUAUAGUUUUGGUUGCCAGAUGUCAAGAGCUUAAAUCCCCCAAUCAAAGCUUUUCUCUUAAAUCCAUACAGUAACUGUCCUGUGGUCUGCUCAAUCAUCCCAAUCUGGCAACCAUUCCCAUGUUUGAGUUCAGCGAUCUCUGUUGAGAUAUUCUGCUCACAUAAUAAUAGAGUAAUACAGCCAGUCUGUUUUCUUUGCGCUGCUAAAUCUGUCUUGAUUUGUGCUCAUGUGAGAGUGCAGUUAUUGGUCUGAACGCGUCCCCAGUGUGCUGCUGAGAACCUCGUGAUGAAGCCGUGUUACGUGUCUGGAUCCAGUAUUGCGUCUCAUUGCAGAGCUGUGUUUAGAUAUGCAUGCGGCUGCUCUCACGCCUCGUAAUGUGUUCACUGCAGGCAGCACGGCUCUGUAAUUGCUUAUUGACCUCUUUUAAAGAGUUUGCGAAUGGAAAUUUGUGUCUUCUGUCGAGGUCUCUGUGUUCUGGAGCUCGGUGAGGGUGUUUGUAAGACCAGACCGUCUCAUGUGCUGCAUUUGUCAUCAUUUACAGGUUUAUAUUUAGACUUCCUCUCAGAUUUGACCUCGCUUACACUGUAAUCUAGUGCUGUUGGUCUUCCUCACUGUGAGCUGAUGAACCAGCACUGCACAUCAAACUCAUUUCAAAGCAGCUUUACAGAAAGUCACGAGGUCAGCAGUGCUGUCGUCUACAGUCCCAGCCUGACCUCACAGGCCUCCAGGUGUCACUCAUCUGUAGCUCCGCCUCCUGCCGCUCAGCCCACCAAUCACCUCACAGAACAGAUGCCGGUGUGUCACUGUUCGUCCAGCCAGUUCCCGGUGUCUGGACAGCCGUACCUGCGCAUGGGUCCAGUGCCAUACAGCGCUCAGAGUCAGAUUCCUCCCGCACCCCCGCAGCAGCCAGGUUACCAAACUGUGAUCAAAUCAGCAGCAGAACUACCAGAACAUGAUGCAGCCGCCGCAGAACCAGAUGCAAGUCAUGAUGCUCCAGCAUCCGUCAGUGCCAUCUUAUCAGCUCCUCCGUGGGGUUCCUGCCUCCUCCAGGAGCGGAGCAGAUGCUGUUCCACCGCACCACGGCUCCCUGCGGCUCGCAACAGAUUCCCGCGCAGCAGUGCUCAGGAGCUCCGCCCCCAGCAGCAGGUGGACUGGUGUUACCUGUGUCCCAGCAGCCUCCUUACUUCAGCUCCGAUCACUCACGCUCUCAGAAGCACAGCGACGUCUGCAGUCUGCAGCCAACACGAUGACGAGCCGUGUCUGGAGCUCCGUCGCGUGGAUCCGUCCGGCUCUCAUUCUCCAAAAACAAUGACAGGACGAGAAGACGGCAGCUCCACAGAACACAGCUGAGCUGACUGGAACAUAUCCGGAUACAGCCGGGACUGUGCUGCUCUUUAUAUUUUAUCUUUAUUCAUUGGUUCCACUUCAGAUGGACUCUUUCCAUUAUUCAUCCGUCGCUCCGUGUGUCGCGGUGUGUCUUCAGUCGGACGAACAACCUGCUUUUUGUACAUAACUGAUAAAGCAGCGGU
ensembl:lncRNA